rnacentral:rRNA from 1 species
GACGAACGCUGGCGGCGUGCCUAAUACAUGCAAGUCGAGCGGACGGAUGGGAGCUUGCUCCCAGCCCGUCAGCGGCGGACGGGUGAGUAACACGUGGGCAACCUGCCUGUAAGACUGGGAUAACUCCGGGAAACCGGGGCUAAUACCGGAUAACUCUUUCCCUCCCAUGAGGGAAAGCUGAAAGAUGGCAUCUCGCUAUCACUUACAGAUGGGCCCGCGGCGCAUUAGCUAGUUGGGGAGGUAACGGCUCACCAAGGCGACGAGGCGUAGCCGACCUGGGAGGGUGAUCGGCCACACUGGGACUGAGAAACGGCCCAGACUCCUACGGGAGGCAGCAGUAGGGAAUCUUCCGCAAUGGACGAAAGUCUGACGGAGCAACGCCGCGUGAGUGAUGAAGGUUUUCGGAUCGUAAAACUCUGUUGUCAGGGAAGAACAAGUACCGGAGUAACUGCCGGUACCUUGACGGUACCUGACCAGAAAGCCACGGCUAACUACGUG